CCCCCGCCGACCUGGAUCCAGUGGGAGCGGGAAGGGAGGCGCUAACCAUUCCCCUCCCAUUCCACCCCUCGCGGCCCCAAAUUCCGCGAGUCAGGUGACCCGGCCCCGGGCUCUGGCCGGGACCUGCGGGGGGUGCUCUCCGCCCUCCAGCCCCCGGCGCAUCUCCCCGGCCCGCGCGUCCCGGCUGUUCGUGGCUUGCUUUUAGUCUCCAGGGAUCGUGGGACCCUUCUCCGCGGAUCUGUUUCAUCCUCUUAACCUGAAGGAGUCAGCAGAGAUUUCUCCAAGGGUAAGAGGCUACUACAAUAUUCUUCUCAGUGAGGUUGGGCACCUGCCGAGGAAACGAGGCUAAGAUCUUUGGCAAUAAAUACAUUCCGAAGACCUGCAUCAGUGCCCUGCUUGCAGAGUGUGGCAGAGAAGCUAAGCAUCUCAAACUCGGCAUUACAGACCUGAGAAGGCUGUAAGACUCUCUGGUCCAUCAUCACACGGGAGGAAUAUAAAUCCUCAGAGCUGUGCUGGGCAGCAUGUUAGCUGCUAGCCACACAUGGCUGCUGGACACUUGAAAUGUUGCUAGUCUGAAUUGUGCUGUGCUGUAAAUGCAAUUCACACCAGAUUUCAAAGAGUGCAGAAACUGAGUUUCAAGUAGAUCCAGCAACUUGCCCAAGUCGUAAAACCAGAAAGAGUGGAGCCGAGAAUCAAAGCUUGGAUGCCUGACCAGAGUGGACCUUUGAAACACUCCUCUGUAUAUUGUCUUCAGGCUGCCUGUAUUUACAAACUCUGAUAUUGACCUCAUUACUUCUCCCCGUUCUGCAGGCAGAAGACUGCUAUGAGAGCACUUAGGACCCAAGCGACAUCAGCCUUGGAACAGGCAAAUAAAAA
rnacentral:lncRNA from 1 species